rnacentral:rRNA from 1 species
UUCUCAAAAGAGUGUUUUUUGCAUGGCUCAGAUUGAACGCUGGCGGCAGGCCUAACACAUGCAAGUCGAGCGGUAGCACAGAGAGCUUGCUCUCGGGUGACGAGCGGCGGACGGGUGAGUAAUGUCUGGGAAACUGCCUGAUGGAGGGGGAUAACUACUGGAAACGGUAGCUAAUACCGCAUAACGUCGCAAGACCAAAGUGGGGGACCUUCGGGCCUCAUGCCAUCAGAUGUGCCCAGAUGGGAUUAGCUAGUAGGUGGGGUAACGGCUCACCUAGGCGACGAUCCCUAGCUGGUCUGAGAGGAUGACCAGCCACACUGGAACUGAGACACGGUCCAGACUCCUACGGGAGGCAGCAGUGGGGAAUAUUGCACAAUGGGCGCAAGCCUGAUGCAGCCAUGCCGCGUGUGUGAAGAAGGCCUUCGGGUUGUAAAGCACUUUCAGCGGGGAGGAAGGCGGUGAGGUUAAUAACCUCAUCGAUUGACGUUACCCGCAGAAGAAGCACCGGCUAACUCCGUGCCAGCAGCCGCGGUAAUACGGAGGGUGCAAGCGUUAAUCGGAAUUACUGGGCGUAAAGCGCACGCAGGCGGUCUGUCAAGUCGGAUGUGAAAUCCCCGGGCUCAACCUGGGAACUGCAUUCGAAACUGGCAGGCUAGAGUCUUGUAGAGGGGGGUAGAAUUCCAGGUGUAGCGGUGAAAUGCGUAGAGAUCUGGAGGAAUACCGGUGGCGAAGGCGGCCCCCUGGACAAAGACUGACGCUCAGGUGCGAAAGCGUGGGGAGCAAACAGGAUUAGAUACCCUGGUAGUCCACGCCGUAAACGAUGUCGAUUUGGAGGUUGUGCCCUUGAGGCGUGGCUUCCGGAGCUAACGCGUAAAUCGACCGCUGAUGACA